GAUGGUGAAAACCAUCAGAUCUGCAGAAACUCACUCAGCAAUUGAGCAGCAGCAGCAGCUCCACCUUCCUAAGCAAUGCGAAGCCUUCUUGCCACGUUGUUACAUCACGUCCAACACAAAUCGUUCCGGUGCCAGUUGGACCCUUUCAAGCCGUGAUGGUCUUUGUUGUUCUACUUUGGUGUGGUCCCACCUCGCUACUGAGGAGCCUUGCACAAUUAUCAGACAAUGACAAGAGUUACGCCCUAGUUCCUCAACUCUCCACUGCCUUGCAAGCCACAGAGGUAGGUGCUUGACGUAGCCUCAUAAAAAAAAACACAAAAAAAAAACGUACCAAACAAGCAAGCACACAUUCUGUUCACCAAAGGCAAAGAAAACUGGCCCGGCAAUAAAAAUAAUGUUUCUCAA